rnacentral:rRNA from 1 species
GUUUCAGCAGCCGCGGUAAGACGAACCGUGCGAACGUUGUUCGGAAUCACUGGGCUUAAAGGGCGCGUAGGCGGGCCGGCCGGUCGGAGGUGAAAGCCCCCAGCUCAACUGGGGAAGCGCCCCCGAUACCGCCGGCCUGGAGGGGGGUAGGGGCGUGCGGAACUUCCGGUGGAGCGGUGAAAUGCGUAGAUAUCGGAAGGAACACCGGUGGCGAAGGCGGCACGCUGGGCCCGCCCUGACGCUGAGGCGCGAAAGCCAGGGGAGCGAACGGGAUUAGAUACCCCAGUAGUCC